CUUCUUCGGUUAGAGCAAAGCCCAAAAUGGCAUAACCAAAUGAUUGUUUAGCCAAUGAUGGAUUUCGCGCCACGGAAUGAAUCGAGGAACUAAGGACGUUUCCAAUACCGACAGCAGC